rnacentral:lncRNA from 7 species
GCAGCCUCCAACCAGGGGCAAGGAUGGCCACCACAAUUUUCAAUGCACUCACAGUAACAUAAAACAAAAUUAUGUUCAGACCAAAUGUGUCAAUGUUCAUGGUUUCAGAAGGAAAGCAUUAAAAUAAAGCAUGACAAGAAGGAUGAAGAGAAUACAGUUGAAAUGCUUUACUCUAAAGUCAUUCUCAUCGACCUGUUUGUAAAGACCUCUGCCUACACUGAAAGAUAUUUAGGAUGGAACUUGGCAGAUCCAGACUGAAAGCCCCAAGCCUCUGAACAGCAGUGCCAGGUUGCGAGUGGGGAUGUUUGUGGAUGGCACCCUCCAUGGCUCAGCAUGGAAGCUGAGUGAAACACACACCCAGGGGUCACUGGUCAGUGCAUCUACUGUUUAGAAAGAGAGUCUUCGCAUAUGAGACCUAAGCUUCUAAUGUCACUUUCCAAGCAUAAUGUAAAACAUGCUAUAAAAAUACAAAAUAAAUCUAAUG